rnacentral:rRNA from 1 species
UUCUUCUUUAGUACGAGAGGAUUUGGAAGGACGUAGCUCUGGUGUACCAGUUGUCAUGCUAAUGGCACGGCUGGAUAGCUAACUACGGAAAGGAUAAACGCUGAAAGCAUCUAAGCGUGAAGCCCGCUCCGAGAUUAGGUUUCGAUUGAGUCCCCUGGAAGACUACCAGGUUGAUAGUCCGGAUGUGUAAGGCCAGUAAUGGUUUAAGCUUACCGGUUACUAACGGACAACUACUUGGCCAC